AUGUAGCUUAAUUAAAGCAUCUCGCUUACACCGAAAAUAUGUCUGUGAAACUCAGAUCAUUUUGAG
rnacentral:tRNA from 1 species